UACGUAGGGGGCUAGCGUUGUCCGGAUUUAUUGGGCGUAAAGAGCGUGUAGGCGGCCAGGUAGGUCUGCUGUGAAAACUCGAGGCUCAACCUCGAGACGUCGGCGGAAACCAUCUGGCUAGAGUCCGGAAGAGGAGAGUGGAAUUCCUGGUGUAGCGGUGAAAUGCGCAGAUAUCGGGAGGAACACCUAUGGCGAAGGCAGGUACCUGGGCCUUUACUGACGCUGAGACUCGAAAGCUAGGGGAGCAAACAGG
rnacentral:rRNA from 1 species